CUACGGGUUGCACCAGUGGGGAAUAUUGCACAAUGGGCGCAAGCCUGAUGCAGCCAUGCCGCGUGUAUGAAGAAGGCCUUCGGGUUGUAAAGUACUUUCAGCGGGGAGGAAGGGAGUAAAGUUAAUACCUUUGCUCAUUGACGUUACCCGCAGAAGAAGCACCGGCUAACUCCGUGCCAGCAGCCGCGGUAAUACGGAGGGUGCAAGCGUUAAUCGGAAUUACUGGGCGUAAAGCGCACGCAGGCGGUUUGUUAAGUCAGAUGUGAAAUCCCCGGGCUCAACCUGGGAACUGCAUCUGAUACUGGCAAGCUAGAGGCUCGUAGAGGGGGGUAGAAUUCCAGGUGUAGCGGUGAAAUGCGUAGAGAUCUGGAGGAAUACCGGUGGCGAAGGCGGCCCCCUGGACGAAGACUGACGCUCAGGUGCGAAAGCGUGGGGAGCAAACAGGAUUAGAUACCCCCGUAGUC
rnacentral:rRNA from 1 species